rnacentral:rRNA from 1 species
UAUCAGAAGUGCGAAUGCUGACAUGAGUAGCGAUAAAGCGGGUGAAAAGCCCGCUCGCCGAAAGCCCAAGGUUUCCUACGCAACGUUCAUCGGCGUAGGGUGAGUCGGCCCCUAAGGCGAGGCUGAAAAGCGUAGUCGAUGGGAAACGGGUUAAUAUUCCCGUACUUUUAUGUAGUGCGAUGUGGGGACGGAGAAGGUUAGGUCAGCGGCCUGUUGGAAUAGGUCGUUUAAGGCGGUAGGCUGGUGCGGUAGGCAAAUCCGCUGCACCUUAAGGCCGAGAACUGAUGACGAGGGUCUACGGACCUGAAGUGACUGAUACCACGCUUCCAGGAAAAGCCACUAAGCUUCAGCUACAUAAGAACCGUACCGCAAACCGACACAGGUGGGCAGGAUGAGAAUUCUAAGGCGCUUGAGAGAACUCAGGAGAAGGAACUCGGCAAAUUGAUACCGUAACUUCGGGAGAAGGUAUGCCUCUGUAUGUGUAGUGAUUUACUCGCGAAGCAAGCAGAGGUCGCAGAGAAUAGGUGGCUGCGACUGUUUAUCAAAAACACAGCUCUGUGCCAACACGAAAGUGGACGUAUACGGAGUGACGCCUGCCCGGUGCUGGAAGAUUAAAUGAUGGGGUGCAAGCUCUUGAUUGAAGUCCCAGUAAACGGCGGCCGUAACUAUAACGGUCCUAAGGUAGCGAAAUUCCUUGUCGGGUAAGUUCCGACCCGCACGAAUGGCGUAACGAUGGCCACACUGUCUCCUCUUGAGACUCAGCGAAGUUGAAAUGUUUGUGAAGAUGCAAUCUCCCCGCUGCUAGACGGAAAGACCCCGUGAACCUUUACUGUAGCUUUGCAUUGGACUUUGAACAGGCUUGUGUAGGAUAGGUGGGAGGCUAUGAAACCGAGACGCUAGUUUCGGUGGAGCCGUCCUUGAAAUACCACCCUGGUGUGUUUGAGGUUCUAACCUUGGUCCGUUAUCCGGAUCGGGGACAGUGCAUGGUAGGCAGUUUGACUGGGGCGGUCUCCUCCCAAAGUGUAACGGAGGAGUUCGAAGGUUACCUAGGUACGGUCGGAAAUCGUGCUGAUAGUGCAAUGGCAAAAGGUAGCUUAACUGCGAGACCGACAAGUCGAGCAGGUGCGAAAGCAGGACAUAGUGAUCCGGUGGUUCUGAAUGGAAGGGCCAUCGCUCAACGGAUAAAAGGUACUCCGGGGAUAACAGGCUGAUUCCGCCCAAGAGUUCACAUCGACGGCGGAGUUUGGCACCUCGAUGUCGGCUCAUCACAUCCUGGGGCUGUAGCCGGUCCCAAGGGUAUGGCUGUUCGCCAUUUAAAGUGGUACGUGAGCUGGGUUUAAAACGUCGUGAGACAGUUUGGUCCCUAUC